rnacentral:lncRNA from 1 species
AAAUCCAAUAAACCUUGCAAGGAAACAUAGAAAUAUUUUCCUUCAUACCAAACACACCUAAAAGGAGAAAAAGAAUAAGAAAACAAACCUUGUAAUAUGGAAAUACUUAUUUCUUUACAUAAUAAGAAGGUACGGAUAAUAUGGAUUAUCCAUUGGAUUUCUACCCAUUUUUAUCCCUAUCAAAUAUGAGUCGGUCGGAUAUUUUAUCCAUUUUCACCUGAAUCAUUUUCAACCAUCCCAUAUCCGACUUGACCCGCUCGUUUGCCGCCCCUAAGGCACUACAUUAAUAGGAUACAAAUGGCUCUUCUUCCGGUUUAUGUGCAGCCCUGAAUUACCUUCAAACAGAACCAAAAUGGUUUGGUUCUUAGCACUGGUAAGGUUGAGAAAUAUAACUUAGAGAAAGGUAAUAAAUUAGUUGUACAUCAAGAUUUAGUGACCACAAUUAAAUGGGUGUAUACCUCUGAGACUUUAAACAAAAACUUCAUUGAUUUGCAUCAAGAUUUUGAGCGGGUCACUGUACGCUUACUUGAAAUUCUUACUAUACCUAAAGAACAACUUUGAUCUUCAGCUAAGGAUAAGCCUUUGUAGGAUUGGAUUUGUCGUAAUGGCUUAUUCCUACACCCGUCCUGCCACUUUAAACUAUCAUUGGCUUAUUCUUUGGCCCGUUGACCACAAAGGUGAUGCUUUCUUUGGAUUUCUUUCCCUAGUCUCAAGGCUUUGUAAAUUUUCACUAGCUAAGCCUUUUAAUGUGAGACUAAAAGACAGUUAUGCAUAUAUCACAACUGUUUCUGGUUUGCUCUUCCACGGGGUUUGUUAAUUUUUCCUUCUGAAUGACUUGUACAGAUUGACAGAUUUAGUAGCUAUUGUUUGUUAAUUCUCAAAUGUUAUCUACCGAUCUGAUGGUUGCAUUUUCUUCUUGAUGUGCUUCCCAACUUCUCUUGCAGAAAAAUUGCGUGAAUUAUCUUGGAAUGGCAUCCCAUCAUAUCUGCGUCCCAACAUAUGGCGGCUUCUUUUGGUAUGGUUCUAAUUAACUUAAUUUCUCUGGAAAUGUUUUUAGGUCAGUAAAGAAGAGGUAUUAUAUAUUAACUUGGGAUCAAGGAGACAGAACAGCAGAAGUACAAUAAUCAAAGAAAGAAAAAAGGAAAAAACAGAGUGAAGAUAAAAAGAGGGGUAAUAUCUUGAGGGAAUCACAACUAGAAAAUUUAAUCUAACUAGCGAAUAUCUUCAACUCCUUUCAUCAACUCUUUCUCAUAUCACGAAAGGAAACUCUUAAAGCAAUUCAUUUUCUCUAUAUGAACAGGUUCAUAUACAUCCUCAAAACAUAUAUUACUUCUCUAAGAGCAAAUCUACCACAAAAUCCAGUGUUAUAUAGUUCUCCAAGGUUCCAAAGUCAGACUGUCGUAAGCUCAACCCUAAUUUAUUUACUCUCUCAAAUGAGUGGUAGCUGGUUUACUUUGUUGUAGGGUCUCCUGUCAUUCCUUAUCUAUGGUUCCCUUAAAAAGCCGUGUUGCACUGGGGGUAAUAGGUAAGCGUUGUUAGCGGAACUUCAUUUGGAAUGGAAUUAAUCAACAGAUCCCUUCAGUUUGACACUUUCUUAUCCUCAUGCCUUAUAUGAGAUAAGAAUGGACUCAGUUGAUCAAGGAUAACCCAUCACAUUCUGCAAUCACAAGAAACAUGCACAAUAUAUCUUGAGCCACUCUAAAAUUUACAAAAGAUGAUUCACCGAUCUAUCUCUUUUUGACACGUGAAAGAACACCUAGCCAUUUUCCGUUAUUUUGAUAAUCAUAUGAUGAAUGCUUUAUAUUAGUUGGUUAAACCAUCUCGGAUUUAUCUUUAUUAUUUCGGUGUCUGUUUUAGGUACUUAACUUUGUUUUGUGAAAUUCCUUACCUCUAGGAGACUAUUGUUUUCACUUUUCGGCAUUGAACUUUGUUAUGUGAAAAUUACAUGGAGUGGAGGUUUCUCUAAUUCUCUCUUAAACAGGAAAGUUCAUUUCUAAACCACUAGAGUUCAUUUAAACAAUCUUUUUAGCCUAGAUCAAUAGAUACAUAAAGUCAAAUUUGGUCAUCGACAUUAGCUGCUUCUCUACUGAAUGGGAUGAUGAAUUCAAGUCCGUAAAACAGUCCAUGCUUCCAGGAGUAUCAUCUGACCAUGCACCUUUGAUGCUUCAGUGUGGUGAAUGGGAAAAAUCUAACUCCUAGUCCUACUUCAAGUUUGAUAAGUUGUGGUGGUUAAGAGGUUGAUGGUUUCACUUAUAUGAGGAAAAAUUGGUGGAUUUCCUUUGACAUUUCUGAAACACCUGAUUUGAUAUUGGCAAAAAAUUGAAAUCUGUAAGUUAAUAAAUACUUCUGAAAAAGCUGGCCAACUUGGAAAGUAUAUUGGAGACUAGAAUUGUAGAUGAGAGGAGCUCUUCACCGAAGUGGAUAUCCACAAGGACAACCACAACAACAUACCCAGUGUAGUCCCAUAAAGUGAGGUCUGGGAAGGGUAGAGUGUACUCAGACCUUACCCCUACCUCGAAGGUAGAGAAGUUGUUUCCAAUGGAAUGGAUAUCCACAAUAAAUUGCAGGAUUUUGCCAAAUUUGAAAAAAUUAAAUGGAGCCAAAGAUCUAGGGUAUUAUGACUUCAGCAGGGAGACAAAAAUAUCAAGUUUUUCUUAAGAUGGUCAACUAACAUUGGAGAUACAACACCAUUGAUAAACUUGAGGUCAGUGGGCCUUUUAUUUAAGAUCUGGAUGCCAUCAACAGAGAAAUCUUGGCCUUCUCUCAGAUCCUAUUCUCUGAAACUGAAGAGUGGAUACCUUAUUUCUCAUUGGGUGAUUGUUGUAAGGUUAACAGGAAGGGAACAACUGGAUACAAAGGCCUUUUGAAGAGUCAGAAGUCCUAAAUAUAAUCAAACAAUGUACAGAGAAUAAAAUACCAGGUCCAGAUGGAUACACAAUGCUAUUUAUCAGAGAUGCUGGUCUUUUCUCAAAGAAGACAUUAUGAAGCAUCAGAGGUUUCUAUAACCAGCAUACAUUCGAAUAAAGCUUCAAUGCAACAUACAUGCUUUGAUUCCCAAAAAGAAUGAGCCUCUUGAAUUGAGGGAUUUUAGGCCCAUUAGCUUGAUGGGAAGUUUCUGUAAAAUCAUAUCUAAAUUGUUGACCGAAAGAUUGAAGAGCGUCAUGGACCAGCUGGUUGCUAAAUCUCUGAUGGCCUUCAUCAGAAGAAGGUAAACUAUGGAUGUUGUUCUCAUUGCGAACAAAUGGAUGAAUUCAAGAAAAAAAAAUCAGAACAAUGGGGUUCUUUGUAAACUUGACAUUGAAAAAGCUUUCGAUCAUGUGAAUUGAGGUUUCCUUAUUAACACUUGUAACAAAAUGGGAUUUGGAAGGAAAUGGAUCUACUGGAUUUCUUUUUGCAUUAGUACUGUGAGAUAUUCAGUAAUCAUCAAUGAGUCCUUAGAGGGUUUCUUUUCAGCUCAAAGAGGUCUUUGAUAGGGUGAUCCCUUUUAUCCAUUCCACUUUAUCUUAGUAAUGGAAGGGUUUAUCAGAAUGCUUAAUAUUGCUAACUACAAUGGUUGGAUCAAAGUUUUCAAGGUGGGAGAUAGCAUAGAAGUCUCACAUUUACUCUAUGCAGAUGAUACCCUCAUUCUAUGUGAUGCAGAUAUCCAUUAGUUCAAAUUCCAGAGAUUGGUUUUGAUUUCUUAAAGCGGUUUAUGGUCUUCAUGUGAACUGGAUAAAUUGCUUGCUCUUUCCCGUAAAUGUAACUUCAAAUAUUAGAGAUCUAGAAUUUUUUUGGGAUGUGACUUUGGACGACAUUUCAAUGACAUGAAAGACGCGAGACUCUAAUUCCUGAAGCCACAGUGGAAGAUAACUGGGACCAGCAUGAUUGGAGAUGGAAUUUUACAAUACAACUCAAUAACAGGGAACUUCCCAGAUUUAUUGUACUAAAAGUUCUGGAUAAGUUCAAGGAAAUAACAAUAGAGGAGGGUAGAUUAAAUUGUAAAUGGCGUAAGGGUCUGUUUAUGGUAAUAUGUUACCAAUUUCAAAAAAGGGUCUGUUUAUGGUAACAUCAGCAUACUCGCAUCUCAAUUAGGCUGGUCAGCAGUCCAUGUAUGGAGCUGGUAGGCAUUUUGGCUAGUGAAAACACCUCCCAAUGUUGUUUUGUGUGGUUAGUUGUUAGAGAUGGUUGCCUUACACAAGAAACUUAAAGAGAAGGGAAAUGCAACUUUGUUAUCUAUGUGUACUGGAGUCUAAAAGUAGAAACCAUCUUUUGAUACAUUGUGAAGUAACUGGAGUACUCUGGCAGCUAUUCCUUAGUAUGAAAUUAUCAUGGAUUAUGCCCACGACUCUAGGGGAACUACUUGCGUGUUGAAACUUACCUGGUGGACUAGUUAGACAAAAAAAACUGGUCGAAGAUUAUACCAGGCUGCAUGUGGUGGAUUAUAUGGAAGGGGAGAAGCUAUAGAUGCUUUGAAGGGACCCACAACUCCAUACAGAAAAUCAAGAUGAAUGCCUGUUUUAUUUCAUUUUUGGUUCAAGGAAGAUUUAGUACAGGAUGUUGAUUGACUUGAUUCAAUGUUAGACAUUAUAGAAUCCCUGUAAUAGUAGGAUCCAAGAGAAAGCUAUGCCUUUUGGAUUCCUUUUGCAAUCUGUAAAUAUGACUUAGCACAGUCGUUGUGCGCUACAUUUACGAUAAUAUUACCAUUCUCAAAAGUAAAAAAGGUUUUCUUGUAGACAAGUUUGCUUGCUUCCAUUUUAUGAAAUCUGUCUUCACAUGACUGAGUUACAUAGUUAAGAAAACAUGUUAAACUGGAUUGCAGAUUUUCUUAUUAGACAUAAGUUGUUGCUUUUAUGAAAUUUAAAUAAUGAGCUGACAACAGGGAUAUGCACCCCCUAAUUCAGAUAGAAGGGAGGGAGUUCUGAGAAGAAAGCGUCUAGAUUAUCUUGAUUGUGUUGCUCAGUACUAUGACAUUCAAGAUAUUGAGCGAACAGAUGAAGAGAUCAACAUGCUUCGGCAGGUAUUCUCGAUGCAUUUGGAUUGUGAUCUUUUUUAUGCCUUAUGCUCAUUUCCCAAUGUCGUCAGUCAUAUAACUACUGCUUCGCUUGUGCUGUUAGAUUGCUGUUGAUUGCCCUAGAACGGUGCCUGAUGUUUCUUUUUUCCAUCAAGCACAAGUUCAGAAAUCCCUGGAGCGCAUACUUUACAUAUGGUAAACUAUUUCUUUUUCUCUGUAUUCAUUAGCUGUAACAUUCUCCUUGAAUUGUAGAAUAUCUCUACAAAGGGAAGAGGAAAGGAAAGAGCAUUGCAUUUAUUUCUUUAGUUAAGAUGUGGAACUAGAUGAGAAAACAAAUGGGUUAAAAUGGGCAAUUGGCAUGGUCGAAAAUCGAAAUUGGUAGUAGUCAUUAGGUGUGAGCAUUUGUCGGAUUAAACCGAAAAACCAAAUAAUUAAAGGAAUCCUGAUUAUUAGUUUACGAUCUCACCUAACAUUAUAGUUACUGAUAUACAUUCCAUACACCAACUAUCGCACUAAGAUUUUGCUACAUACACUACCUUGUUCAUUCCGAUUAUCAAAUAAACAUUGAUGAUUUUAGCAAUUAAGAGAAAAGUGACAAAUCCAAUAAACCAAAAAUCAAAUUGGAGAAAAACCAACUUAUAAGAGAAACCUAAUGAAACUGAACUUAGUUUUGAUUGGACUGAAUUUUUUCACAACUGAAAAUCUGAAUUCAAAUAAUACAAAACCAAAUAAAAAAAGUACUGCACACCCUAGUAGGCAUCACCAUAAGGGCAGCCCAGAAAUAAAAGUUAAAGAUUGAAGAUGCAUGGCAGCAUGGGCGUUCAUUAACCUUUCUUUAUUGCUCCUGUUGGUGUUCUG